rnacentral:rRNA from 1 species
GGAUCCAGACUUUGAUCAUGGCUCAGGAUGAACGCUAGCGACAGGCUUAACACAUGCAAGUCGAGGGGCAUCAUGAGGUAGCAAUACCUUGAUGGCGACCGGCGCACGGGUGAGUAACGCGUAUGCAACCUGCCUGAUACCGGGGUAUAGCCCAUGGAAACGUGGAUUAACACCCCAUAGUACUUUUAUCCUGCAUGGGAUGUGAGUUAAAUGUUUAAGGUAUCGGAUGGGCAUGCGUCCUAUUAGUUAGUUGGCGGGGUAACAGCCCACCAAGACGAUGAUAGGUAGGGGUUCUGAGAGGAAGGUCCCCCACAUUGGAACUGAGACACGGUCCAAACUCCUACGGGAGGCAGCAGUGAGGAAUAUUGGUCAAUGGACGAGAGUCUGAACCAGCCAAGUCGCGUGAGGGAAGACUGCCCUAUGGGUUGUAAACCUCUUUUAUAAGGGAAGAAUAAGUUCUACGUGUAGAAUGAUGCCUGUACCUUAUGAAUAAGCAUCGGCUAACUCCGUGCCAGCAGCCGCGGUAAUACGGAGGAUGCGAGCGUUAUCCGGAUUUAUUGGGUUUAAAGGGUGCGUAGGCGGUUUAUUAAGUUAGUGGUUAAAUAUUUGAGCUAAACUCAAUUGUGCCAUUAAUACUGGUAAACUGGAGUACAGACGA